rnacentral:rRNA from 1 species
UACGUAGGUGGCAAGCGUUGUCCGGAUUUAUUGGGUUUAAAGGGUGCGUAGGCGGCCCUGUAAGUCAGCGGUGAAAUACGGCAGCUCAACUGUCGAGGUGCCGUUGAUACUGCGGGGCUUGAGUGUUGAUGAGGCAGGCGGAAUUGACGGUGUAGCGGUGAAAUGCUUAGAUAUCGUCAAGAACACCGAUAGCGAAGGCAGCUUGCCAAGCAACAACUGACGCUCAGGCACGAAAGUGCGGGGAUCAAACAGG